UACGAACCGUACAAACGUUAUUCGGAAUCACUGGGCUUAAAGGGUGCGUAGGCGGCCAUGUAAGUGAGGUGUGAAAUCCCUCGGCUCAACCGAGGAACUGCGCUUCAUACUGCAUGGCUUGAGGGAGACAGGGGUAAGCGGAACUGAUGGUGGAGCGGUGAAAUGCGUUGAUAUCAUCAGGAACACCGGUGGCGAAGGCGGCUUACUGGAUCUUUUCUGACGCUGAUGCACGAAAGCCAGGGGAGCGAACGGG
rnacentral:rRNA from 1 species